UUAUACUGUAUUGAUCACAUAUCACUGCAUUUUCUCCACAGUUGUGGGUUUAUGCAUAUUUUUCGACUCUCGCCCCAGAACCUGUGGAGGAGCUUCUAUUGGCAGUCCCCUUCUCAUGGAGGUAUGACGGCCGGCUCCAACGUAGGACCCGCGAGAUUAUGUGGCAGCCAUGGGCAACGAUGUCUGCUGGGAUUCGAGACUAGUUCGCUGGAGCUUGGGCUACUUCCCACUUCUGAAUUCUACUCGAGGGCCCAGUCUGCUGAGCCUGGUUCCUGAGCGAGCGAUUCGUGCGCAAGAUUGUAGGCCUGCCUGACCUGAUCAUUCCGAUGGCACUGCCAGAAUCCAUGCAAUCAGCAGAUAGCAUAUCCAUUGAUGAGGUUAUUCAGUUUAUGGUGGGCUUGGAUGUUGACUUCUUCCAAGCAGAGGGAAACUAUGCGACCUUUAUUCAGACGUAGCUCAUGCCACCUUUGACAGACACUCGUGGAGGUGAGGAGGUGAGAGCUCCUGCUAUGCGAGAGGCGCCUAGGGUGACUCCGGCGACUAGGGUGACUAGGACGUCCAAGGCUCGUGGUAGAGGGGCUUCUCGGGGGUAACAGAGGAUCGGUUGGCCAGAGCUUCCGACCGCGCUGACAUGCUGGCGGCAUACUAGGGAUCCUUAGCAGGUCCCGAUUGAGCCUGCAGCGGUUGGGCACAAGCUUGCUGGGGUUCGAGUCCCGACUCAGGCAUCCAUCGAGUACAUAGGAGGCGCUCUUGAGCUAAUAGCCUAGUUGAUGGGGAUGGUACAGAGGAGCGAGACGAUGCUCGAUCUCCACGGCAUCCUAAUCCCACCCAUAGCGAUGGCACCAGCGGCAGCCGUAGCACCAGCAGUAUCUCCUCAAGCAACAGGGAGGAGAGAGAGACAUGCUCCAGCAAGCGACCGAGAUAGAGUUAGGGGCACCUAAGACGAGAGCGGUCCUUUAGAGCCUAUUCUGAGUGAUGAUGAUGCUGAGAUGAGCGACUCUAAGGAGGUAGUGAGUUAGCAUUCGGAGUCAUCUGAGAGUAGAGACAAUGUAGGCUUGGGUUCCGAGAGUGGAGGCGACACCAAGGCGAGCUCUGAGGUGGUGAGUGGAGAUGACACCGACUCGGGCUUUGGUUUAGGUUCAAACAGUGGCGCUGAUGGAGAUAGUGCCCUAAAGUCUUCUCCUCCGAGGAAGAGGACAAAGAGGGCCUCUCGAGCCUGAGGCAACCGGCGCCGAUUUUUUGUAUUUUUGCUUAGUUUCUUUUGUUUAUAGCAUUAGCACAUUGUAUAGCUUCAAACAA